UGGGGAAUAUUGGACAAUGGGGGGAACCCUGAUCCAGCCAUGCCGCGUGUGUGAAGAAGGUCUUCGGAUUGUAAAGCACUUUAAGUUGGGAGGAAGGGCAGUAAGCGAAUACCUUGCUGUUUUGACGUUACCGACAGAAUAAGCACCGGCUAACUCUGUGCCAGCAGCCGCGGUAAUACAGAGGGUGCAAGCGUUAAUCGGAAUUACUGGGCGUAAAGCGCGCGUAGGUGGUUCGUUAAGUUGAAUGUGAAAGCCCCGGGCUCAACCUGGGAACUACAUCCAAAACUGGCGAGCUAGAGUAGGGCAGAGGGUGGUGGAAUUUCCUGUGUAGCGGUGAAAUGCGUAGAUAUAGGAAGGAACACCAGUGGCGAAGGCGACCACCUGGGCUCAUACUGACACUGAGGUGCGAAAGCGUGGGGAGCAAACAGG
rnacentral:rRNA from 1 species